rnacentral:rRNA from 1 species
GGCUUAACACAUGCAAGUCGAGGGGCAGCAUGGUCUUAGCUUGCUAAGGCCGAUGGCGACCGGCGCACGGGUGAGUAACACGUAUCCAACCUGCCGUCUACUCUUGGACAGCCUUCUGAAAGGAAGAUUAAUACAAGAUGGCAUCAUGAGUCCGCAUGUUCACAUGAUUAAAGGUAUUCCGGUAGACGAUGGGGAUGCGUUCCAUUAGAUAGUAGGCGGGGUAACGGCCCACCUAGUCUUCGAUGGAUAGGGGUUCUGAGAGGAAGGUCCCCCACAUUGGAACUGAGACACGGUCCAAACUCCUACGGGAGGCAGCAGUGAGGAAUAUUGGUCAAUGGGCGAGAGCCUGAACCAGCCAAGUAGCGUGAGGGAUGACUGCCCUAUGGGUUGUAAACUUCUUUUAUAAAGGAAUAAAGUCGGGUAUGGAUACCCGUUUGCAUGUACUUUAUGAAUAAGGAUCGGCUAACUCCGUGCCAGCAGCCGCGGUAAUACGGAGGAUCCGAGCGUUAUCCGGAUUUAUUGGGUUUAAAGGGAGCGUAGAUGGAUGUUUAAGUCAGUUGUGAAAGUUUGCGGCUCAACCGUAAAAUUGCAGUUGAUACUGGAUAUCUUGAGUGCAGUUGAGGCAGGCGGAAUUCGUGGUGUAGCGGUGAAAUGCUUAGAUAUCACGAAGAACUCCGAUUGCGAAGGCAGCCUGCUAAGCUGCAACUGACAUUGAGGCUCGAAAGUGUGGGUAUCAAACAGGAUUAGAUACCCUGGUAGUCCACACGGUAAACGAUGAAUACUCGCUGUUUGCGAUAUACUGCAAGCGGCCAAGCGAAAGCGUUAAGUAUUCCACCUGGGGAGUACGCCGGCAACGGUGAAACUCAAAGGAAUUGACGGGGGCCCGCACAAGCGGAGGAACAUGUGGUUUAAUUCGAUGAUACGCGAGGAACCUUACCCGGGCUUAAAUUGCAGAUGAAUUACGGUGAAAGCCGUAAGCCGCAAGGCAUCUGUGAAGGUGCUGCAUGGUUGUCGUCAGCUCGUGCCGUGAGGUGUCGGCUUAAGUGCCAUAACGAGCGCAACCCUUGUUGUCAGUUACUAACAGGUUCCGCUGAGGACUCUGACAAGACUGCCAUCGUAAGAUGUGAGGAAGGUGGGGAUGACGUCAAAUCAGCACGGCCCUUACGUCCGGGGCUACACACGUGUUACAAUGGGGGGUACAGAGGGCCGCUACCACGCGAGUGGAUGCCAAUCCCCAAAACCUCUCUCAGUUCGGACUGGAGUCUGCAACCCGACUCCACGAAGCUGGAUUCGCUAGUAAUCGCGCAUCAGCCACGGCGCGGUGAAUACGUUCCCGGGCCUUGUACACACCGCCCGUCAAGCCAUGGGAGCCGGGGGUACCUGAAGUGCGUAACCGCGAGGAGCGCCCUAGGGUAAAACUGGUGACUGGGGCUAAAU